UGGAGGUAGGCAGACGGGAUGGGGUAGUACGGGAUGGGGUAGACAAAUGGCAAAGGAUAAGACAAAGUAUAAGAUAGGAUGGGAUGGGACAGAUGGAAGGGAGGAAGGAUAGUAAAGGGGGAGGGAAGAAAACUCACAUAUAAUGAAUGGAUAAAUAAAGAAUGAAUGUGAAGAGAGAUAAAGAACAGGGGGAAGAAGAAAUUAACAAGUGAAUGAAUAAUUCUGGAAGCUGAUGGAGAAAAAUAAUUGGAAACAUAAGAACAUGCAAAGAAACGAGAAAAUUCUAGCCAGGCACAGCAGUGCACACCUGUAAUCCCAGUGGCUCAAGAGGCUGACGCAGGAGGAUCUUGAGUUCAAAUUUAGCCUCAGCAAAUUAGUUAGGCCCUAAGCAACCCUGUCUCAAAAUUUUAAAAAACAUAAAAUGGUUAGGGAUACAGUUCCAUGAUUAAGUGACCUUGGGUUCAAUCCCUGGUACCAAAAAGAAAUAAGAAAAGAAAGAAGGGAGGAAGGGAAGGAAGGAGGGAGGGAGGGAGGGAGGGAGGAAGGAAGGAAGGAAGGAAGGAGAAAAUUCUUUAAAAACUUUCACAUUUUCAGUGUGUAAAAAUUCAUCAAGAUUAUGUUGCACAUACUUGUGACAUGUGUACAUUCCUGUAUGUAUGUUGUCAUUGUUUUAAAAAGACUGUCUACCUAGCAGGUCCCAGUGGGGAGUAGAAUCUCUCUCCCCAACUAAUGCCAACAGGGGGAGCUUGGCAGUAUGAGGUGGCGACCUGCUUUUGCUGAGAUGGUGGCAGUGGGUCCCAAUGGCAUAUUCACCCCCACCUGGAUCUGUGUCCUGCCUCCGAACAGAAGGCUGCCUGUAACAGAGGGUACAAGAGGAUCCAGAGUCUCACAGCACAAUACCCAAAAUGUUCAGGAUACAAUCAAAAAUCACUCACCACACCAAGAACAAGUAAAAUUCUAACUUGAGUGGGAAAAUAAUCAACAAUACAACAUCAAUAUGACACAGAUGCUGGGAUUACCUAACAAGGGUUUUUAAGGAAACUAGCAUAAAAAUUCUUCAGUAAGCACGAUGAACAUGCUUGAAAUACAGAAAAAAUAUUUUUAAAGUCUCACCAAAGAAAUAGAAGAUGACAAAGAAGAAAACGCCUGGGCAUGGUGGUGUCAGCCCCUAAUCCCAGCUAUUCAGAAAGUGGAGGCAGAAGGAUUGCAAGUUUGGGUCUAGCCUGGGCAACUUAACAAGAUCCUGUCUCAAAAUAAAAAUAGAUACAUAAAAAGGUAGCUCACCUGGGCAUGGUGGUGCACACCUGUAAUCCCAGCAGUUUGGGAGGCUAAGGCAGGAAGAUCACAAGUUCAAAGCCAGCCUCAGCAAGUUAGUGAGGCCCUAAGCAACUUAGUGAGACCCUGUCUCAAACUAAAACAUAAAUAGGCUGGUGAAUGGGCUUACCAAAAAAGAAGAAGAAGAAGGAGAAGGAGAAGGAGAAGCUCAGUACUAGGUAUUUCUACCACUGAAGGAUAUGGUAGAGCAACUCUGGGCUCAACUCCCAGCACUACAAAACAAAAAGCAAAAAUAAAAAUAAUAGAAACACAGCAAAUGAAAAUUUUAGAACAGAAAUAAUAAUAAAUAAAUGCAACUGAAAUAAACAAAUCAAUAUGAAUAUGACUAUGAGAGAGGAAAGAAUCAGUGAACUCAAAGAUAGAACCAUAGUAUUACUCAGGAUGAACAAACAGAGAGAAUAGACUAAAAAGAAAUGAACAGUUUCAGGAGCCUGAGAGAUUAUAAUAAAAGACCUUACAUUUAUAUUAUUGUAGUUCAAGAGGGAUAGAAGAAAGGGUAUGGGACUGAAAAGGUGUCCAGAGAAAUUCUGGCUGAAAACUUCCCAAGUCUGGUGAAAGAUACUAAUCUACAGAUUCAAGAAAAUGAGCAACCCCAAACAGGAUGAACCCAAAGAAAUUCACAUCAAGAUGUAUCAUAAUCAAUGUUCAAAAAAGAAAAAAAUCUUGAAAGUUUCAAGAGAGAAAUGGCCCAUUGUCUACAGACUUCCCAUCAAAAACCAAGCAGGCCCAAGGGAACAGGUACGACACUUUUCAAAGAUUGAAAGAAACACUGCCAACUCAGAAUUCUGUACCCAGCAAAAAUAUUCUUGAAGAAUGAAGAUGAAAUGAAAAUGUUCUAAGAGAAUUUGUCACCAGCAGACAAAAGAUGGAGAAAUUUCUUCAUACAGAAAGGAAAUGAUAAAAGAAAGAAAUGUGAAAUAUUAGGAAUGAAGAAACAACUGGGAAACAAUUUCAAAAUGUGGGUCAACAGUUAUACCAUGUCUUGGUAUUUACCCUGAAGAACUAAAGUCAUCUUAACGAUAGUGAUACAUGCAUACCCACUUUUAUAGCACCACAAUUCAGAAGAGCCAAACUAUGGAACCAUUCUAGGUAUCCAUCAAUGGAUGAAUGAAUAAAGAAAAUGUGGCACAUAUACACAAUGGAGUUUUAGUCAACCCUAAAGAAAAAUGAAAUUAUGGCAUUUGCAGGGAAAUUAUGGCAUUUUGCAGGAAAUUCCUAAAUUCAAGACACAUUUUGUGCCUUGUUGUUUUCUUUGAUUUCUUGUCAACAUGCAGGAACUAGAGACCAUCAUGUUAAGUGAAAUCAGUCCAACUCAGAAGGUUAAGGGUGGUAUGUUUUCUCUCAUAUGCGGAAGCUAGAGAGGAAAAAGGAAAACAUCAGUGGGAUGCAAAUCCUAAAAAUCAAAGGGAGUAGAAGAAAGGGACCAAGGGCUGGGAGGCAGGGAUGGAGAGAGGGGUAAGUGCCGGGGAGUGACAUUGGCCACUGGUGUUGUUAUAUUGUGUUCCUGUACAAAUACGUAACAACAAAUCCCAUCAGUAAGUACAACUAUAAUGAACCAAUAAAAAAUGUGGGGAAAAAAAGCAGUUCCACAUGACAGGGUCGGCUUCUCUUCCCUGGAGCAGUGUCCCAGGGACUUGAAAGAUCCUGAGCACAGCAACUGGAUGCCACCAAGAGACCAAGUCAAGAAGCACAUUAGAGGCUGUUUGAGCCUCAAGUGGAGAUCAAGCCUCACCGCUGCCUGCCAGCUAAUGUGGGAGGUUUUCUGUGGCUUGACGCUGACAGCUUUCUAACUGAUAAGACAGCUUGCUCACUGAGACUCUGUGUCCUGUCACAGACACGUGUGCGGAGGAGAAGGCAGUGACUGAAAGGUCUCUAGGAAGCCUCAUCACGAGGCUGAGAACCUAAUUCCACCGGGACUAGCACAAUCAAACCCUUGGUGUGGACUUCGAAUAACCUUUCCCAUCACGUUAGAGCUGCCCUCCAAGGAGGAAGGCAAGCAGGUGGGGACAGAGGUGACCUGCCUGAGCAAGAGCCUGGGGGCAGGUGCAGGGGGAAAUGCCAAGUCAGAGUUCAGAUCUGCUUUCUUCCCCAACACACAGGAGGAAAGGUGUCAGCAAACCACAGCCCACCCAGAGGGAGGAGGAUGUGACAGCCAGCAAGGGAGGGGCUCCAGACCGCAUCCCACAAGCAACAGCGAGGACAUAGAGAGAGACUCAGAGGGGGAUGCGAGCGCACCAUUCAGCCAUUGGCAAAAUAACAAGCCCCAGUGGAUUGGGUUUGGCCACGUGGUUCCAGGAACUGGAAUGCUAAUUAAUGGGUGUGCAGAAUCAACUUCUUAACAAAUGGCUCUAAGGAUGGACUUUCACAAAAUACAGUGCAUCCUCCAUCCUUAGAGGUGUCCAAGAAGCCUGGCAGCAAACCUCCAACUUCCCAGACCUCAACCCCACCAAGAACCUUUACAGCUCAGGGAUUCUGGAAUAUAGUGGAAAUGAAAGGUAAAGUCCCCAGAAUCCAAGUGGAUCUUGUGUUCUAUUCUGACUACUCUGGAACCAUACCCUUGGCCAGACUUUUCCAAAAUGUGUUUUGUGGGACAAAUGUGAAUGCAAAAAGAAAAGGUUCUAAUGCUAUAGAAAGUUUGGGAAGCAUGGGCUUAAAUAACAUUGCUCUAGCUUUAACUCUCAGAGCCUCUAAUAUGCUCUAGGUAUUUUGAUACUCCCAAAGGGGUAGCAUAUGAAACAAUUUCCAAAUCUGCAUGACUAUAAAGACCUGGGUGUUUAUAAUAUAUUUCUGAAGACCAGAGUUUUAAAGCACACACAAUAUGAAAAUCUGCUCUAAUCUAUUUCAAAGUUUCUAAGGCAACUAGUCCAGAACUUGAGCACAACCAAAUAACAAAUUCAUCCUCCAAUUCAAUAAUAUUGUACCUCUUGGGACCCUCUCGAAAGAUCAGAUCUGUAGUCAAGAUGUAUACUCUCUCUCUUCAGCUGGUCCAAGAACACUCUCAUGACUUCUCUCCAGAAAAGACAUCACAAGCCACAGGGGAAGAAAAAGCAGUCAGAGAAAGAAAUACCCCAGAGAAGAUGGAAAACCAGCUUCAAUGACAGGAGAAAAAGAGAGAGAGAAUAUCUUCUCACCUCAGAAGGGUGGACGGGGACCCCACGUGCACCCCAUCAAUCCCUUCUCUGAACUACCACCAAACACAAGCCUGUCUGUGCAUUUCGUCCUCUCUGGACUGUGACUGACAAGCGCAGCUUCUGGCUGUUACCUGAGCAGCCAGCCGUCAGGUUCCAGUCUCGGGGCCUGCUGGUCUCCAGUGCGCUCACACCAUCAGCCCGGGCUUCCUGGGAGGGAGCGGGACGGGAGAGGACAAGCACAUCCCCCUCAAGGAGACCAGCCAGGACUGGCCAGAGAGAGAGCAGCCCAGUGAUUUCUGGGCCCUGGUUCUGUUUGAUGGGAAUGGAAAGAAAAGACUCUUGUUUCUCUCACUGUUCGCCUGGGUGACAGUUACCAUGGAUAUAAAUCAAUUUUUGGAGCCUGUCAGUCGCCAGUUGAAUAUAAAGAGCCUGCUCCUACAGAACCACAGGCAGGCAGGCAGAGACACACUCAGGGACGAAGGCGGACUCAAAUUCAGGUAUGGACACAGGAGUGGACACAGGCAGGCGCCUGGCUCCCCCCCUCCCAGGAAGAAGUAACUUGACUAGGUACUAUGUCACUAGUACGCAGGACACCCAGAACUCUGAAGGACACCCUCCAGAAUGACCAAAGAAAGUAUCCAAAAUGAGCCCUGAGAGUGGGCCUCCUAAUGCCUUGAUUUUUUUUUUUUUUUUUUUUUGGUACCAUGGAUAGAACCCAGGGACACUUAACCACGGAGCCACAUCCUCAGCCUUUUCUUUGUGUUUUAUUUUGAGACAGGGUCUCACUAGUAGCCGUUGCUACUAAUGGCUCCAAAUUGAAACUCUCCAAACCUGCACUAGCUAUUGGCAGCAUAGGCACUUUUCAUACUGACUCAUUUACCCUACAACAAACCUUGGGGUGGAUCCUCUUGUUAUCCCCACUAUUCAGAUGAGAAAAUUGAGGCUUAGAGAGGUCUCUCGACUUGUACUGGUGGGGUCAGGAUUAAAACCCAGACUGUCCUGUUCUUUAGCAGUUGACAUACAUGGUCAGGACUUCCGGGAUCCAGACCCAGCUUCAUCCCUGAGGCCUCAGGCAAAUCAUUACAAUUCCUGGAACCCCACUUUCUCACCCCUAAAAGGGGAAUAAGAAUAUUUCCCCUGUUUAUGUCCUAGCACUGUUAUAGGAAUCAUAUAUAAGGCAAUCCAAAUGGAGAGAAAGCAAGAGAACAGAGGAAGUCAACAUUCAUUAAGUACCUACUGUGUGCCAGGGCAGUCACAUGAUUUUUGUGGAUGAUGACUUAUCUCUAAUUCUGCAAGCAAGGAUAGAAACCCAGGAAGAAAGCAGGAGUCAAAGACCUCCAGGGGGCUGGGGAUGUGGCUCAAGCGGUAGCGCGCUCUCCUGGCAUGUGUGCGGCCCGGGUUCGAUCCUCAGCACCACAUACAAACAAAGAUGUUGUGUCUGCAGAAAACUAAAAAAUAAAUAUUAAAAAAAUUCUCUCUCUCUCUCUCUCUCUCUCUCUCUCUCUCACUCUCACUCUCUCUUUAAAAAAAAAAAAAAGACCUCCAGUGUCAGGAAGCCCAAGAGUCUGGAUUCCAACAGAGGUCUGUUUGUUUCCAAAAUGUUUGGUUUUUGUGUUGCUUUUUCUUUUUUCUUUUUGUUUUGUUUUUGUUCACCAGGAUGUCACAGGCAUGAAAACUAAUGACCCAUGUCCCCUUAGGCCUUUUGUCUUCUGGAAUCCUCAUUUGCUCCACGAGUUUGGGUGUGUCCUGACUCACUGGCCACAGAAAGACUGCAACUUCCCACUUCUGCACCAAAGCCCCUGCUUCUCACCCUGCUACCACCCCCACUGCUGCUGCCCCACAUGCUGCCAGACAGCCACAGAUGCUGUGUGGCUCUGGGCAAAGCCCUUGACCUCUCAGAUACCAGUAACCUCAUAUCUAAAUGGGGCUAGAACCAGCACUGAAGAUCUCCAUGGCAAAACUCAAAGCCUCUCCCUACCCUGAGGUGGCUGGCCUGCUGCACACACCUGGCUCGAAGCUCAGCUGCAAUCCUGCUGAAAUGUCUCCGUGCCCAGGUUGUCCUGAGGCUUCAUUGUUAAACACAGGUGGACACUUGUUGUCCUCUCUGAGAACAGUGGAUAGCUCAUUCUUGUGGUGACAGUAAAGAGCAAAUAUCCCAUAUUCAUCUCAUGCUGAUCUUCCUCACAGGGCUACCGGCAGCCAGCCUCCUCCAUCCGUCCAUCCCAACCAGCUGGCUUUGAAGCAUUGACUGCCCAUGGCAGAGCAAUGGCCCUUUAAGGGCAACACAGGGCACUGCUUCCCUGGCAGCAUGUUCAGCACACACGCUGUUCCUAGGGUGCGUAUGGUGGGAGCAGGAGGGUAAGAGUAUAAAGGAACGAGAUGGCCUCAUGGCAGAUUACAGGCAGGGGAGAGGAGAGAAAGACGGAGGGGGAAAGAGAAAGAAAGAACUGCUCAGUUAUGUGUUUGAAUGUGGUUGGUCCCCACCCCAAACCCAUGUCAAAAUGCAAUCCCCAUUAUGAGAUAUUCAGAGUGCAGACCAGGUGGGACCUUUAAGAGUCAAUUAGGAGCUGGGCAUGGUGGCCCAAGCUUGUAAUCCCAGCGGCUCAGGAGGCUCAUAAAUUCAAAGCCAGCUUCAGCAAUGGUGAGGCACUAAGCAACUCAGUGAGACCCUGUCUCUAAAUAAAAUACAAAAUAGGGUUAUGAUUGCUGUAUGUAUAUAGGUGACUCUAUGACCAGUGUGAUUCUGCAAUCUGUACAAUCAGAAAAAUGAGAAAUUAUACCCCAAUGAAUCAAAUGUAUGAAUUGCCAAGAUCAUUGUAAUGUCAUGGGUAGCUAAUAAAAAAUAAAUUAAAAAAAUAUGAAGGGUUAAAAAAAAUACAAAAUAGGGCUCAGUGGCUGAGUGCCCCUGAAUUCAAUCCCUAGUACCAAAAACCAGAAAACAAAACACAAGGCGAUUAGGGCUUUGCCCUCAUGAAUGGACUAAUCCAUUUACAUAAUUAAUGGAUUAAUGUGUUAUUUCAACUAUAAAAGUCAGUUUGGUUAGGUCUCUCACCAAGUGAUGCCCUAUGCCACCCUGGGACUCUGCCAGCAAGAAGGCCAUUGUCAGAUGUGGGCCCUUGACCUUGGACCAGGACCAUGAGAAAAAUAAACUUUUUCCUUUAUCAUUUAUAGAGGCUGAGAUGUUGUGUUAUCAGCAACAGAAAAUGCACCAUGACAACAGCCCUGUCUAGAAUUUGCUAUGUCAAGGAAAAAAAAUGUCAAUUUAACUAUUAAAGAGAGCCUCUUGAUGGGGAAUAAAUGAAGAUGGGGGGACACAUGUUCUUAAGAUUGGAAGGUGGGCACUGUGAGGUGUGCCUAUGGUUCUUGCCCUCGGGAGACUGAGGUAGAAGGAUCACAUCCCAGAAUUCCAGACCAGCCCAAGCAGAGAGACCCUGCCUCCAACAAAACAAAAACUUUAAAAUGCAGAUUGAAAGUGACUUUGAAAUUGAUGACUGGCUGACUCUAGGCCUUGAUCUAAUUUCGUAACAUCCCUGAGGUUUUUUAUAAGUGUCUGCAUGGUGCUGGUCCCUGGUUACAGACUUCUAUUUCAUCUUCGUAGCCAUCCUCUGAGUUGCUCUUAUAUUCAUGUUGUAGAAGAGAGUACUGACCCUCACAGAGUGGCUUUCCAAAGACCACAGAGUAAGUGCGGGAGAUGGGAUCCUCGCCAUUCUAACUCCAGAGUUUCACAAUGCUCAAUUCAGGCAUAGGAAAAGCCCCGCUAGGGCAGCUUGUGCUAUAAGGGCCGGGAGGGGUGGGGGGCAUUUCACAGUAAGAGGCCACAGAGCUUUAAUUUGUACUAUUUUUUUGUUGUUGUUUAGCAGACUGACCCAUUUGUUUUCAUUGCUUUAUUUUUAAUAUUGAAAGAUCUGAUUAACAAAUAGUCCAGACAUGGGAACAUUUCUUAAAAUCUGAUAAUCCAUAAAAUAUUAUAUUUUUGCCCGUUUGCUUAAUGCUUUUAAUGACAAGCAACUUGAGAGCUUAAAAAUGUAAUAUUAAUUUUUAAUACAAUUUUUCUACUUACAGACUUAAAUUUGCACACUUGUAGACUUUGAUUUUUUUUAAAAAAUUGGCAUUGUUUAUGAAAUGUCUCAGACCAGAUGUUACAAAUGUCUCUGAAAUGCAGUAAGCUCUCCUGUGAAACCUAUAGGGUACAAAAUAUGGGUACCAUUUCUCUCUCCUGCACUCUUGGGGAACAGACAGCCCUUGCAUUAUAUGAUGCCUUGGGGUGGGGAUAGUAUGAUCUUAUUUUUGUGUGUAUAUAUGUGUGUGUGUGUAUACACACACACACACACACACAAACACAAACAAAAAGGAAAGUCUGGGAGAAUGUAUGCCAAAACAUUGAUUUUGCUUACAUCAGGAUGGAGGGUGUUAUGGUUUGGAUAUGAGGGGUCCUCCAAAAUCUCCUAUGGUGAUUCAGGGAUGUUCAGAGGUGAAAUGAUUGGAUUGUGAAAGCUGUACUUUGGUCAAUCCAUCCUACAGUGAAUGGACUGACUGUCAGGUGGUAACUGUAGGCAGAUGGGGCAUGUCUGGAGGAGGCGGGUCACUGGGGGUUCAUCUUCCCUGUGGCCUCUCCCUCCCUCUACUCUCCUACUCUCUGCUUCCUGAACACCCCCCCCCCAUCCCCUGCCAUGAGCUAAGCAGCUUUGCCCUGUGGUCCCUUCCCCCAUGAGGUACUGCCUCACCUUGGGCCCACAGCAACAGAGUCAGCCAUCUAUGGGCUGAGACCUCUGGAAUUGUC
rnacentral:lncRNA from 1 species